AGAACCCUAUGUCGUGUUCGCUUCACUAAAAUUGGAAUGGUACAGAGAUUAGCAUGGCCCCUGCGCAAGGAUGAUACACAAAUUCGUGAAGUGUUCCAUAUUUGG
rnacentral:snRNA from 1 species